AUUGAACGCUGGCGGCAUGCCUAACACAUGCAAGUCGAACGGAGGCAGCGAUGCCUCAGUGGCGGACGGGUGAGGAACGCGUAGGAAUCGACCCACGAGUGGGGGACAACCUGGGGAAACUCAGGCUAAUACCGCAUACGCUCGCGAGAGGAAAGCGGGGGACCUUCGGGCCUCGCGCUGGUGGACGAGCCUACGUCCGAUUAGCUGGUUGGUGGGGUAAAAGCCUACCAAGGCGACGAUCGGUAGCGGGUCUGAGAGGACGACCCGCCACACUGGGACUGAGACACGGCCCAGACUCCUACGGGAGGCAGCAGUGGGGAAUAUUGGACAAUGGGCGCAAGCCUGAUCCAGCAAUGCCGCGUGGGUGAAGACGGCCUGCGGGUUGUAAAGCCCUUUAGGCGGGAGGAACGGUCGGGUGCGAAGACCACCCGGCGCUGACGUUACCCGCAGAAUAAGCACCGGCUAACUCCGUGCCAGCAGCCGCGGUAAU
rnacentral:rRNA from 1 species